rnacentral:tRNA from 1 species
CAAGAGGUAGUUUAAUUAAAAGAUUCCGGUUUUGGGG